AGUUAAAGCGUACAGCUGUGACUUGUGUGGAAAGUCAUUUACGUAUCGUGAGGGCUUAAAAAAACACCAACUCAUCCACAGUGUAGUUACAGCACACUACUGUGACUUGUGUGGUAAAGCUUUUGCUCAAAGUCGAAACUUACAGAAGCAUCUAGUUACCCACUCUGGAAUUAAGGCGUACAGCUGCAACUUUUGUGGAAAAAGUUUCAGUGAAAAACACUACCGAAAUAUUCACCGUCGGAUUCACACUGGAAAUGAUGUUUACUGCUGUGAUCAGUGUGGAAAACUGUUUACAACAGAUGCACAGUUACAACAACACAUGUUUAGCCACACUGAGGAGAGACGUUACAAAUGUGACCUGUGUGAGAAGACUUUUAAAUCUCCACAUAAGCUUAAUAAACACCAACAGAUCCACUCAAGAAAGUAACUCUACAAGUGCAGUUACUGUGAGAGAUGGAUCCAGUUCUCAACCCUGUCGUCACUGUGGGGGUGGGAAAGAGGUUCUCUGUGACCUUUGUGAAAAAACUUCCAAUCAUCAACGGGACCUAAAACCACAUCAACGUAGACACACUGGAGACAAAAUGAACUACUGCAAAGAAUGUGGGAGAGGCUUCCACACACCAAGUACAUUAAAAAUA